GACGGUGCCAGCGAGCCUGGAAACCUGCCCCGAAGGGGUGGGGCAAACUGUUUCAUCACCGUCGUGACUGGGAUCGGGGCUUGCAUUAUUCCCCGUG
rnacentral:precursor_RNA from 1 species